GCAUACGGCUCAGUAACGCGUAGUCCACCUAACCUAUGGACGGGAAUAACCUCGGGAAACUGAGAAUCAAUGCCCGAUAGAACAUUAUGCCUGGAAUGGUUUAUGUUCCAAAUGAUUUAUCGCCGUAGGAUGGGACUGCGGCCUAUCAGUUUGUUGGUGAGGUAAUGGCCCACCAAGACUAUUACAGGUACGGGCUCUGAGAGGAGUAGCCCGGAGAUGGGUACUGAGACACGGACCCAGGCCCUAUGGGGCGCAGCAGGCGAGAAAACUUUGCAAUGUGCGAAAGCACGACAAGGUUAAUCCGAGUGGUUUCUGCUAAAGAAACCUUUUGUCAGUCCUAGAAACACUGAUGAAUAAGGGGUGGGCAAGUUCUGGUGUCAGCCGCCGCGGUAAAACCAGCACCUCAAGUGGUCAGGAUGAUUAUUGGGCCUAAAGCAUCCGUAGCCGGCUCUGUAAGUUUUCGGUUAAAUCUGUACGCUCAACGUACAGGCUGCCGGGAAUACUGCAGAGCUAGGGAGUGGGAGAGGUAGACGGUACUCGGUAGGAAGGGGUAAAAUCCUUUGAUCUAUUGAUGACCACCUGUGGCGAAGGCGGUCUACCAGAACACGUC
rnacentral:rRNA from 1 species